rnacentral:sRNA from 1 species
UCCGCACGGAGCACAAGCCUUGCACCUAUCAACAAUGUCCCUGCAACCGACUUCGGGAAGAGUGCCCCCUGGACACAAGUCUCUGUACUGACACCAACUGUGCCUCUCAGAGCACCACCAGUACCAGGACCACCACUACCCCCUUCCCCACCAUCCACCUCAGAAGCAGUCCCACCCUGCCACCCGCCAGCCCCUGCCCAGCCCUGGCUUUUUGGAAACGGGUCAGGAUUGGCCUGGAGGAUAUUUGGAAUAGCCUCUCUUCAGUGUUCACAGAGAUGCAACCAAUAGACAGAAACCAGAGGUAAUGGCCACUUCAUCCACAUGAGGAGAUGAACCACUUCUCCAGAGGGCGAGAAUGGAGGAGGGGGACCUGUCCAUCACAGCAACAUGCGAACACAAGCAAAACACUGAAUAAAGAAUUGUUUGGAGAUUA